rnacentral:rRNA from 1 species
UUCCGGUUGAUCCCGCCGGAGGCUACCGCUAUUGGAGUUCGAUUAAGCCAUGCGAGUCGCGAGAAAUUAGAUUCUCGGCGUACCACUCAGUAACACGUGGGUAACCUGCCCUAUGCUGGAUAAUAACCUCGGGAAACUGAGAAUAAUGAUCCAUAGUUCACUACGCCUGGAACGGUGAGUGGAUGAAAGCUCCGGCGGCAUAGGAUGGGCCUGCGGCGUAUCAGGUUGUAGGGGGUGUAACGUACCCUCUAGCCCUCUACGCGUACGGGUGUUGGGAGACAUAGCCCGGAGAUGGAUUCUGAGACACGAAUCCAGACCCUACGGGGUGCAGCAGGCGCGAAAACUUGGCAAUGCGAGAAAUCGUGACCAGGGAACUCCAAGUGCAUGGGGUAAGACCCAUGCUUUUCUUGACUCUAAAUAGGUCUUGGAAUAAGGGGUGGGUAAGGACGGUGCCAGCCGCCGCGGUAAUACCGGCGCCUCAAGUGGUAGUCGCUUUUAUUGGGCCUAAAACGUCCGUAGCCGGUCUGAUACAUUCGUGGGUAAAUCAACCAGCUUAACUGGUUGAAUUCUGCGAGGACGGUCAGACUUGGGACCGGGAGAGGUGUGGGGUACGCUCAGGGUAGGGGUAAAAUCCUGUCAUCCUGAGCGGACCACCUGUUGCGAAGGCGCCACACUAGAACGGAUCCGACGGUCAGGGACGAAGCCUAGGGGCACGAACCGGAUUAGAUACCCGGGUAGUCCUAGGUGUAAACGCUGUGGACUUGAUGUUGGGGGUGCUCCGAGCACUCUCAGUGUCGAAGCGAAGGUGAUAAGUCCACUGCCUGGGAAGUACGGUCGCAAGGCUGAAACUUAAAGGAAUUGGCGGGGGAGCACCGCAACCUGAGGAUUGUGCGGUUUAAUUGGAGUCAACGCCGGA